rnacentral:rRNA from 1 species
AAUGAACGUUGGCGGCGUGGAUUAGGCAUGCAAGUCGUGCGAGAAGUGUUUUUUGCUUGCAUUGAACACGGACAGCGGCGAAAGGGAGAGUAACGCGUGGUUACAUGCCCAGGGGUCCAGGAUAGCGUUGGGAAACUGGCGGUAAUACUGGAUGAUAUCUAAGGAUCAAAGGUGAGAUUCCGCCCUUGGAUUGGACCGCGUACUAUUAGCUAGUUGGUGGGGUAAAGGCCUACCAAGGCAUCGAUGGUUACCGGGUGUGAGAGCAUGGCCCGGCUCACUGGGACUGAGACACUGCCCAGACACCUACGGGUGGCUGCAGUCGAGAAUCUUCGGCAAUGGACGAAAGUCUGACCGAGCGACGCCGCGUGCGGGAUGAAGGCCCUCGGGUUGUAAACCGCUGUCAGUUUGGAGGAAGGACCUGUGCAGAGCAGGUCUUGACCGAUAUUCAGAGGAAGGACGGGCUAAGUUCGUGCCAGCCGCCGCCGUAACAC